CCUACGGGAGGCAGCAGUAGGGAAUAUUGCUCAAUGGGGGAAACCCUGAAGCAGCAACGCCGCGUGGAGGAUGAAGGUUUUCGGAUUGUACACUCCUUUUGUUAGAGAAGAUAAUGACGGUAUCUAACGAAUAAGCACCGGCUAACUCCGUGCCAGCAGCCGCGGUAAUACGGCGGGUGCAAGCGUUACUCGGAAUCACUGGGCGUAAAGAGCGCGUAGGCGGGAUAGCAAGUCAGAUGUGAAAUCCUAUGGCUUAACCAUAGAACUGCAUUUGAAACUGUUAUUCUAGAGUAUGGGAGAGGUAGGUGGAAUUCUGGGUGUAGGGGUAAAAUGCGUAGAGAUCAAGAGGAAUACUCAUUGCGAAGGCGACCUGCUAGAACAUAACUGACGCUGAUGCGCGAAAGCGUGGGGAGCAAACAGGAUUAGAUACCCGUGUAGUC
rnacentral:rRNA from 1 species